UCUAUGGAAACCCUAAAACCAAUUCUCUCCGCCUCUUUGUUUCAAACCCACACACCCACACGCCGUGAACAACAACAGCGAUUGUUCUCUCCUCACUCUUCUGCUCGCGAUGAACACGAAACAUAGCAACAUAAUACUCUGUUCUUUCCACUCUCGAUUGUUUUCCGCCAUGACAAGAGCUCUUAGAACUCAGACGAACCCACACACCCACACGCCGUGAACAAUAACAACGAAAUCCUCUCAAUUGCGUCGCUCUCUAGCAAAAUCAAACAAGAUGCAAACAGGAAAAACCCUAAUCCCCAAAUCAAACCCAACCCCAGGUAUACACUUUGCUCUUUAACUCGAUUCCUCCUCUUCGUUACUGUUCUUCGUGCUCAUCUCCUUCUUCUGCAUUUUCUUGUUCUGUUGUGUAUCCGUUGAUGUUGUAAUUUGGUGAGUCAGUGUUUAUUGAGUGUGAGGUUUUAUCUGUGUUAGCGUGUUCCAUUAUUUUAGUUGGUCGGCUCUUGUUGCUUUGUGAUGCUUGCUGCAACGUUGCAGGUUAUGAUUGUUUAUUCGGAGAUUAGCAUGGUUGGGAGAAACCCUUCAAAAUAUGAACAUGAAGAUUUUUUAUAGGAUGCCUUUGAUAUUGGCUACAAUUUAUGAAUCUGUAAGUUUAUCUCGGCUGGUCCCAUGCUGCAGAGAAGUUCUAUGAAACAAGACUUGCAACUGGUGUAACUGUACCUGCUGGAGUUGUACUGGUUUGUCCCGUGUUUACUGCGACCAGAAUUCUAAUGUUGUUCAAGUGUAAGGGUUUUUCUUGAUUCGUAGAACAUGUUUACCUUAUUGAUGGUCGAUGAUUUUAUUCAUUUCAUUGGAGUUCACUAGCUUUUAUGGGAUUGACUAGAACCUUGACACCAAGAGUAGGAGCUCUAAAACGUCUUACAACUCUUUGAAAUGACGAUUGGAGGUGUGGAUCAUGUUGUUGAACAAGGAGCAUCCAGGGCAUGAUCUCAGCAUUCAAAUGUGUCCAUGAUGUAUGCAAAACAAAAGUCAUUUCUCUAACUAAAUGCUAAAGAAAUUAUAAAGCUUAUUAAGGAAUUAAGCAGUCAACAGGAAUACUUGAAGCUGAAGGCACGUUAUGAGUCUCUACAACGCUUUCAGAGGAACCUAAUGGGAGAAGAUCUUGGCCCUCUAAGCAGCAAAGAUCUUGAAACUCUUGAAAGGCAGCUAGAUUCUUCCUUGAAGCAAAUCAGAUCCACAAGGACCCAAUUCAUGCUGGAUCAGCUGGGAGAUCUUCAACGUAAGGAACACUUGCUAUGUGAGGCUAACAGAGCUCUUAGACAAAGGAUGGAAGGGUAUCAAAUAAAUUCACUCCAACUGAAUAUGAGUGGUGAAGAUAUGGGAUAUGGACAUCAUCAUCAUCAUCAAAUAAAUUCUUGGUGUCAUCUCUACUCAAAGACUUCCUUUCUCAUCAAACUCAUUUGAUAUGGCUCAUUGCUCUAGAUGCCUUAUCCCUUGGAUUGAAUUUGGUCCAGCAUUGGUAACAACAAAGGAUGCUGGAGAUGCAGUAGCUUUACUUCAGUCAUUAGCCAGCUCCACUUAAAGCUACAUCAAAUUCUUGGAGAGGAAAGAGGAAAGAUUCAGCUCAUGUGUACUUUUUUUAUUUUCAAAUGUCCAGUUUCUAGGUAGAGUUUGUUUGGUGGUGCAAAUUGUAAGAGGAAAGAUAUAGUUAGUUUUGUCAAUGGAUUUUUGUUGUUUUUAAGUGUUUAAUUUAGCUCUUGUUUUGAAUCCCAUGGUUUUGAAUUUGGGAAGACAUCAAAACUUAAUUAUCUAUAUUUUAUCGAACUUAUUAGUGGGUACAUAACGUCAUUUCUUAAUGAAUAUUUUGUUUUUGACGUAAAUGUUAAUUUGCUUGUAAUUAGAUUCUAAUCAUUAAUGUCUAAAAAAUUAGUUCUAUAAUGGCAUUUUUAUAUAAUGGAACAGAAAUAAACCGUGGCAAGAUUAAUGGUUUAAAAUAUACAAAAUAUAGCCACGGUUUUAAAUUUGUGGUCAUAACCAAACCAUGGCUAUAUCUUGAACCAAAACUGUAUGUUAAAUGUUAAAUUGAAACCGUGGCUUUAUCAUAUGGCCACAGUUCUGUAAUCAUGGCAAAUACAAACCGCGGUCUUAAU